AAGAGUUUGUUUUGUAAACAUAGGUUACAUCUUUUGGUAUAUACAUAGUGUCACAAAAGAUGACAAAAGAGUGCUAAUUAUACAAUUUGUACAUCAGCGCAAAAUAGAGGGACAAAAGAUGACAAAAGAGUGCUAAUUAUACAAUUUGUACAUCAGCGCAAAAUAGAGGGAUGUUGAGGUGCAGAACGAAGUGAAAUCCCUCCUUCGAAAUGAGACAUAUCAUUUUGUUGCUAAUCUUCCUGAAAAAACU
rnacentral:lncRNA from 1 species